rnacentral:rRNA from 1 species
GCGAAUACCGGAGAAUGUUAUCACGGGAGACACACGGCGGGUGCUAACGUCCGUCGUGAAGAGGGAAACAACCCAGACCGCCAGCUAAGGUCCCAAAGUCAUGGUUAAGUGGGAAACGAUGUGGGAAGGCCCAGACAGCCAGGAUGUUGGCUUAGAAGCAGCCAUCAUUUAAAGAAAGCGUAAUAGCUCACUGGUCGAGUCGGCCUGCGCGGAAGAUGUAACGGGGCUAAACCAUGCACCGAAGCUGCGGCAGCGAACGUAUCACUUAAAGCGAUUCAGCGGGUUACGAUUGACGGAGCGAAGCGACGUCAAAGCGUAUACAAAGUCGAGUCGGUUUAAGGAUACGUUCGUUGGGUAGGGGAGCGUUCUGUAAGCCUGUGAAGGUGGCCUGUGAGGGUUGCUGGAGGUAUCAGAAGUGCGAAUGCUGACAUAAGUAACGAUAAAGCGGGUGAAAAGCCCGCUCGCCGGAAGACCAAGGGUUCCUGUCCAACGUUAAUCGGGGCAGGGUGAGUCGACCCCUAAGGCGAGGCCGAAAGGCGUAGUCGAUGGGAAACGGGUUAAUAUUCCCGUACUUGGUGUUACUGCGAAGGGGGGACGGAGAAGGCUAUGUUGGCCGGGCGACGGUUGUCCCGGUUUAAGCGUGUAGGUGUGUGUUCCAGGUAAAUCCGGUUCACUUUAACACUGAGGCGUGACGACGAGGCACUACGGUGCUGAAGCAACAAAUGCCCUGCUUCCAGGAAAAGCCUCUAAGCAUCAGGUAACAUCAAAUCGUACCCCAAACCGACACAGGUGGUCAGGUAGAGAAUACCAAGGCGCUUGAGAGAACUCGGGUGAAGGAACUAGGCAAAAUGGUGCCGUAACU